rnacentral:rRNA from 1 species
ACUCAAAGGAAUAGACGGGGACCCGCACAAGCGGCGGAGCGUGUUGCUUAAUUCGAAGCUACGCGAAGAACCUUACCUGGGUUUGACAUGUAGAGAAAAGCCAUAGAGAUAUGGUGUCCUUCGGGGUUCUACACAGGUGUUGCAUGGCUGUCGUCAGCUCGUGUCGUGAGAUGUUGGGUUAAGUCCCGCAACGAGCGCAACCCUUGUCCUAUGUUGCCAUCGGGUCAUGCCGGGAACUCGUAGGAGACUGCCGUGGUUAACACGGAGGAAGGUGGGGACGAUGUCAAGUCAUCAUGGCCCUUACGUCCAGGGCUGCAAACACGCUACAAUGGCUACUACAAAGGGUCGCUAUCUCGCGAGAGUGAGCUAAUCCCAUAAAAGUAGUCUCAAUUCGGAUUGAAGUCUGCAACUCGACUUCAUGAAGCUGGAGUCGCUAGUAAUCCCGGAUCAGCACGCCGGGGUGAAUACGUUCCCGGGUCUUGCACACACCGCCCGU